rnacentral:rRNA from 1 species
AUUGAACGCUGGCGGCAGGCUUAACACAUGCAAGUCGAGCGAGCGGCGGACGGGUGAGUAAUGUCUGGGAAACUGCCUGAUGGAGGGGGAUAACUACUGGAAACGGUAGCUACUACCGCAUACCAUCAGAUGUGCCCAGAUGGGAUUAGCUAGUAGGUGGGGUAAUGGCUCACCUAGGCGACGCUCCCUAGCUGGUCUGAGAGGAUGACCAGCCACACUGCACACGAGAUACGGUCCAGCAUCCUACGGGAGGCAGCAGUGGGGAAUAUUGCACAAUGGGCGCAAGUCUGAUGCACCCAUGCCGCGUGUGUGAAGAAGGCCUUCGGGUUGUAAAGCACUUUCAGCGAGGAGGCGUUACUCGCAGAAGAAGCAACGGCUAACUCCGUGCCAGCAGCCGCGGUAAUUC